rnacentral:rRNA from 1 species
CAGUGAGGAAUAUUGGUCAAUGGUCUGACGACUGAACCAGCCAUGCCGCGUGAAGGUCACGGCCCUAUGGGUCUUAAACUUCUUUUGCGAGGGAGCAAUAAGGUCUACGUGUAGAUUGAUGAGAGUACCUUACGAAUAAGCAUCGGCUAACUCCGUG